CCCACAGUGAAAGACGAAGCUCAAGCCUGCCUCCAUUUUUCUCUCUCUCUCUUUUUUCAUUUCUUUUUACUUUUUUCAAGCCGCAAUUAAAAGCUCAGGGAAACACUUAGUUUUAAGGCGGCCUUUAAGGCACCCUAUAUAUCAGUCCAUACAGCGGUAAGGGCCAAUCUCAUGUAUCAGUUACACAUAUAUCAACCAAGGAAGAAAACAGGCCCAAACCAAAGAGGUGUGCAGGGAAAAAAUCAGGGGGAUGACUGAAGCUAUCACCUUGCUAAUCCUUGCUGUCCAAACUGGCCUCAUUGAGCUGCAGGUCAUCCACAGAGCCUUCCUCCUCUCUAUCGUCCUCUUUAUUGUUGCUGCUUCCAUCCUGCAGUCCAUGCUGGAGAUAGCUGAUCCUAUAGUCCUAGCCCUGGGAGCAUCUAGAGGCAACUAAGAUAAUAUACCAAAGACUUUUUUCAUGUGUUUAUUUUUAAGAAAACUCUGUGUCCCACUGUUUGUUUUAUUUUUACUGAUCAUAAACAACUAUUAAUAACUAUGGGCAGUUAGUUAAUUAUCACAGAAUUCAUUAUCUAUGGUCAUCAGUACAACUCAUGCUAACAUCAUAAAUUAAGUAAUACUACGGUGUACUGUCCUUCUUUCUUCAUUCCUAAACAGGCAGUUUGUCUUUUUGACAUCAAUCUGACUGAAAGUGUGUUUGCAAAGCCUGCUAUCAACCUGCCUGCUUUCUCAUAUGCUGGUUUUGCUGCCC